CAGAGGUCUCAAGCGUUGUUCGGAUUCAUUGGGCGUAAAGGGUGCGUAGGCGGCGCGGUAAGUCGGGUGUGAAAUCCUGGAGCUUAACUCCGAAACUGCAUUCGAUACUGCCGUGCUUGAGGACUGGAGAGGAGACUGGAAUUUACGGUGUAGCGGUGAAAUGCGUAGAUAUCGUAAGGAAGACCAGUGGCGAAGGCGGGUCUCUGGACAGUUCCUGACGCUGAGGCACGAAGGCCAGGGGAGCAAACGGGAUUAGAUACCCCGGUAGUCCUGGCAGUAAACGGUGCACGUUUGGUGUGGGAGGAUUCGACCCCUUCUGCGCCGGAGCUAACGCGUUAAACGUGCCGCCUGGGGAGUACGGUCGCAAGAUUA
rnacentral:rRNA from 1 species